rnacentral:rRNA from 1 species
GCCGAUGGACAACAGGUGGAGAUUCCUGUACUGCGGUAUGACAGAACUGUGGGGACACGUAAGGAAAGCGGAAGCCGGGAAUGGAAAGCCCGGUGCAAGCGGGGUACCAGCCACUCAGGCAAAUCCGGGUGGCAAUGGGAAGCCGUGAUGCGGAGCGAAAUAAAGUAGCGAAGUCCGUGAGCCUUGCGUCAAGAAAAGCCGCUAUUGUUUAUACCGUACCCGUACCGUAAACCGACACAGGUGGAUGAGGAGAGAAUCCUAAGGCCGGCGGAAGAAGCAUUGUCAAGGAACUCGGCAAAAUGGCCCCGUAACUUAGGGAUAAGGGGUGCCUGGGAAACCAGGCCGCAGAGAAUAGGCUCAAGCAACUGUUUAGCAAAAACACAGGUCUAUGCGAAACCGAAAGGUGAGGUAUAUGGGCUGACGCCUGCCCGGUGCUGGAAGGUUAAGAGGAGAGGUUAGCGCAAGCGAAGCUUUGAAUUUAAGCCCCAGUAAAACGGCGGCCGUAACAAUAACGGUCCUAAGGUAGCGAAAUUCCUUGUCGGGUAAGUUCCGACCCGCACGAAAGGCGUAAUGAUUUGAGCGCUGUCUCGACAAUGCAUCCGGUGAAAUUGAAGUACCAGUGAAGAUGCUGGUUACCUGCGCCAGGACGGAAAGACCCCAUGGAGCUUUACUCCAGUCUGGUACUGGGACUCGGUAUUGCAUGUACAGGAUAGGUGGGAGGCUAGGAGAUGGUAACGCCAGUUGCCAUGGAGCCGCUGUUGGGAUACCACCCUUGCAGUAUUGAGUUUCUAACCAGCCGCCGUGCCCGGCGGUGGGACAAUGCCAGACGGGGAGUUUGACUGGGGCGGUCGCCUCCGAAAGGGUAUCGGAGGCGCCCAAAGGUUCCCUCAGAAUGGACGGAAACCAUUCGAAGAGUGCAAAGGCAGAAGGGAGCUUGACUGCGACACCGACGGGUGGAGCAGGUACGAAAGUAGGGCUUAGUGAUCCGGUGGUAUUAAGUGGGAAUGCCAUCGCUCAACGGAUAAAAGCUACCCUGGGAUAACAGGCUUAUCACUCCCAAGAGUUCACAUCGACGGAGUGGUUUGGCACCUCGAUGUCGGCUCAUCGCAUCCUGGGGCUGUAGUAGGUCCCAAGGGUUGGGCUGUUCGCCCAUUAAAGCGGUACGCGAGCUGGGUUCAGAACGUCGUGAGACAGUUCGGUCCCUAUCCGGCGUGGGCGUAGGAUAUCUGAGAGGAGCUGUCCUUAGUACGAGAGGACCGGGAUGGACGGGCCGCUGGUGCAUCGGUUAGACUGCCAAGUCUACGGCCGAGUAGCCAAGCCCGGAAGGGAUAAACGCUGAAGGCAUCUAAGCGUGAAGCCCCCCUUAAGAUGAGAUAUCCCAUUCGAAAGAAGUAAACCCCCUUGAAGACGACGAGGUAGAUAGGGCAGAGGUGGAAGUGCAGCAAUGCAUGGAGCUGACUGUUACUAAUCGGGUGAGGGCUUGACC